rnacentral:rRNA from 1 species
GAUGAACGCUAGCGAUAGGCUUAACACAUGCAAGUCGAGGGGCAGCGAGGGUAGCAAUACCUGUCGGCGACCGGCGCACGGGUGAGUAACGCGUAUGUAACCUGCCCGCAACAGGGGGAUAACCCGGCGAAAGUCGGACUAAUACCGCAUAAAACAGGGGUCCCGCAUGGGAAUAUUUGUUAAAGAUUUAUCGGUUGCGGAUGGGCAUGCGUACCAUUAGGUAGUUGGUGAGGUAACGGCUCACCAAGCCUUCGAUGGUUAGGGGUUCUGAGAGGAAGGUCCCCCACAAUGGUACUGAGACACGGACCAGACUCCUACGGGAGGCGGCAGUGAGGAAUAUUGGUCAAUGGGCGAGAGCCUGAACCAGCCAAGUCGCGUGAAGGAGGACUGCCCUAUGGGUUGUAAACUCCUUUUACAAGGGAAUAAAAUGAGAUACGGGUAUUUUAUUGCAUGUACCUUGGGAAUAAGCAUCGGCUAACUCCGUG